UGUUCUGUGGCUUAAUUGGUUAAAUCGCCGGACUGGCGAAACGGAAUCGUGGGUUCGAGUACCAUCAAAACAA
rnacentral:tRNA from 1 species